rnacentral:rRNA from 1 species
UGAGUAACCUGCCCUCCACUCUGGGAUAAGUCCGGGAAACUGGGUCUAAUACCGGAUAUGACCUCCUGUCUCAUGGCGGGUGGUGGAAAGUUUUUUCGGUGGGGGAUGGACUCGCGGCCUAUCAGCUUGUUGGUGAGGUAAUGGCUUACCAAGGCGACGACGGGUAGCCGGCCUGAGAGGGUGACCGGCCACACUGGGACUGAGACACGGCCCAGACUCCGUACGGGAGGCAG